ACGGGUGCGGAACACGUACGCAACCUUCCUUUAAGUGUGGGAUAGCUUUCGGAAACGAAAAUUGAUACCACGUAAUAUCAUGAGAUGGCAUCAUUUUAUGAUUAUAGCUCCGGCGCUUAAAGAUGGGCGUGCGCCUGAUUAGGUAGUUGGCGGGGUAACGGCCCACCAAGCCUACGAUCAGUAACUGGUGUGAGAGCACGACCAGUCACACGGGCACUGAGACACGGGCCCGACUCCUACGGGAGGCAGCAGUAAGGAAUAUUGGUCAAUGGACGCAAGUCUGAACCAGCCAUGCCGCGUGGAGGAUGAAGGUCCUCUGGAUUGUAAACUUCUUUUAUCGGAGAAGAAACCCCAGAUUUAUAUUUGGGUUGACGGUACCCGAUGAAUAAGCACCGGCUAACUCCGUGCCAGCAGCCGCGGUAAUACGGAGGGUGCAAGCGUUAUCCGGAUUCACUGGGUUUAAAGGGUGCGUAGGCGGGUUGGUAAGUCAGUGGUGAAAUCUUCAAGCUUAACUUGGAAACUGCCGUUGAUACUAUCAAUCUUGAAUAUUGUGGAGGUAAGCGGAAUAUGUCAUGUAGCGGU
rnacentral:rRNA from 1 species